rnacentral:rRNA from 2 species
CCGGAGUGGACGAACCUCUGGUGUACCGGUUGUCACGCCAGUGGCAUCGCCGGGUAGCUAUGUUCGGAAGAGAUAACCGCUGAAAGCAUCUAAGCGGGAAACUCGCCUUAAGAUGAGAUAUCCCUGGGGACUAGAUCCCCUUGAAGGGUCGUUCGAGACCAGGACGUUGAUAGGUCGGGUGUGUAAGCGCAGUAAUGCGUUCAGCUAACCGAUACUAAUUGCCCGUAAGGCUUGAUCCUAUAACA